CUCCGAACGCUGCAUCCACUCCCGCUAGGGACUAAACCCAUCGAACCCAUCUGGCGAGCGUAGUAACCAACACCGGGCUAUGUGGUCUAACAUAGGAAACCAGUAGUUGGCCAGAGUUAGAAGUUUGGAGUGGGGCUGUAGCUUCAGACACACAUACACUCACUGACAGACACACAUAAACACACAUGCACAUGCACUGACAGACGCACACUCGCUCAGUGUCAGAAACAAACCAAAUUAGAAUCAGACACAGACUGAGACACAUAUACUCACUGACAUACACACUCACUGACAGACACACAUCCACUCAGUGUCAGAGACACACAUUCACUGACAGACACACAUACACAAGCUGACAGACACACACACUCAGUGACAGACAAACACAUUCACUGGCAGACACAUAUAAACACUCACUGUGACAGACACACACACACACACACACACACACUGACAGACACAUAUACACUCUCACUGACAAACACACAUACACUCUUACUGACAAACAAACUUACUAACAGACACACACGCAAUUUAUAAUUUUGUUUUAAACUUCACUCCACCCAGACUCCCUACCUUUGGGAGUGCUGGCAUGGAGUCUAUUUCCCUGGGGCUUCUGGGCUGAGUGGCUGGGCAUGCAGUCAAUGUAGACGUGCAAGGGAGCUCUGAUCUCCCUGUUCAGCCUCGCACUAGAAACAGAGCUGUCUGUAUCGCCUUUUUUCUAAAGAAAACAGUUCCUGUUUUUCUACAUAACUAAUGUUUUCCAUCCCCCUCAUGUGUUUUUUAGCGCACUUUUUCUAGUUUUGCAAUAUCCAUCUUUAAAACUACUGCCCAAAAUUUAAAUGCAUACUCAAGGGGAGUCUUACCACUGAUUUGAAAAGAGACAAAAUUAUAUUUGGAUCACGUGAAUCAUUGCACACUGUUGCCUAAUUUGUGAUUUAUAAUUGAACCCAAGUUAUUUUCUUUUAAUGUUAUUCCUAACUCUGCCUCAUUUAAUGCAUAAGUGGCUUGUGAGUUCUUCAUUUCAAAAUGCAUGACUUUGCAUUUAUCUGUAUUGAAUCUCAUCUGUCCUUUGCCUGGCCAGCCCUCCAAUGUAUCCGAAUCCCUCUGUAGAGAAGUUAUAUCAUGUUCAGAUUGCAUUUUCUUAACUAGUUUUGUGUCAUCUGCAAACACUGACACAUGUCUUUCAAUGUCCACUUCAAGAUCAUUUAUAAACAGAUUAACGAGA